UACGUAGGGUGCGAGCGUUAAUCGGAAUUACUGGGCGUAAAGCGCGCGUAGGCGGGUUGGUAAGUCCGCUGUGAAAGCCCGGAGCUCAACUCCGGAGGGUCGGUGGAUACUGCCAGUCUUGAAGGUGCUAGGGGGAGAUGGAAUUACCGGUGUAGCGGUGAAAUGCGUAGAUAUCGGUAGGAACACCAGUGGCGAAGGCGGUCUCCUGGGGCAUUCUUGACGCUGAGGCGCGAAAGCUGGGGGAGCGAACGGG
rnacentral:rRNA from 1 species